rnacentral:rRNA from 1 species
UACGGGGGGGGCAAGCGUUGUUCGGAAUUACUGGGCGUAAAGGGCUCGUAGGCGGCCAACUAAGUCAGACGUGAAAUCCCUCGGCUUAACCGGGGAACUGCGUCUGAUACUGGAUGGCUUGAGGUUGGGAGAGGGAUGCGGAAUUCCAGGUGUAGCGGUGAAAUGCGUAGAUAUCGGGAGGAACAUCAGUGGCGAAGGCGGCUGCCUGGCCCAAUACUGACACUCAGGUGCGACAGCGUGGGGAGCAAACAGG